rnacentral:misc_RNA from 1 species
GCUUGACGCUAUUUUCUCUUUUCUUCACUGUGCGUUGGUGUGCGUUGAAUCUCUGUGUGAGUUUCUACAUUGUUACGAUUUGCGAAUUCUUGUUGUUUUAUGCUAUUGUGGGUGUUUAAUGAUCUGGUGUUGGUUCAAUGACCUUCUGUUGUUGUUUUCUGAACCUGAAAAUGGACAUUCAAUCUGGCUUGAAAGAAAGGCUUUUAAGAAAUGACAACGUAAAGGUUUUUAAGAAAUGAUAACGUUAAUGUCAUUUUGUGUGGCUAUAGUUUCAUUUGAAUGUACAUUGACCAUAUUUUCCAGUUCAAUUUUAGAUUUGCACAAUGUGUUCCACCUACUUCAGAACGGGAGAAUAGAUAUGGAGUUUAACUUCUUAGAGCUGCAUGUUUUGUGCUGCUUCUGAUCCUUUCUUUGUGUAUGUCAAUAUAGCCUCACAAUACAGCUAAUUUAGAAUAAGAUAGAAAGCAGCGGCAAUAAGAUUAUAACACUACUGAAUGUCCAAAAUUGUUAGUAAAAUUAACAAGCAGCAGCAGUUAAGAUUAUAAUUUAGAAUGGCAAUGGAUUAAAGCCAAACUUUCCAAACAUACGCCAGUGGUGAGUGAUGAGUAUUGGGGCCUAUCCUCAUUGAAGAUAUUGAUGGGAAAAAGCAUAUCUGGGGACAUUCAAGUAGACAAAUAAG